CCGUCUAGCGUUCACAAGAGAGUUCCCUGCGGCAGUGACUGAAAAGCAUCGACUGGAGAGUUUGUUUUCAUACAAAUACUCACAUAAUGAGCACAAUGGUGGUACACGUAAAAACGCUGACUGGGAAGACGGUAACCAUAGACAUAAACCCUCAAGAUACCGUAGAGGUAUUAAAAGCAAUAUUAGAAGAUAGAGAAGGUAUAUCAGCUGACCAACAGCGGAUCAUCUA
rnacentral:misc_RNA from 1 species